AACUGUAAUCUAUACCAGUACAGUAAUUGUGACCAUCAGUCCAGCCACUCCUCCAUUUGUCCAUCUCCUUUUCUCCUCAAUCCCACCGGGACUACCAUUGACAGCCAAGACCAUCUUCUUCCCUCUUCCCCGUGACAGCCUCCAUAACAGAAUCAGCAUCACAACAGCCCACAAACAAACUCAACCUUAACCCAGCACCGCCAUUCUUCCUCUCGUGACCAACCACUGAUUUCAACCGACCUCCUAACCACCACGUGAUGAACAGUCGCAAAAUCAGUAGAGAGAGACGAAACCAAGA
rnacentral:lncRNA from 1 species